rnacentral:rRNA from 1 species
GGCCCGCGCAAGCGGUUGAGCAAGUGGUUUAAUUCGAUGCAACGCGAAGAACCUUACCUACCCUUGACAUCGUGCGAACUUUCCAGAGAUGGAUUGGUGCCUUCGGGAGCGCACAGACAGGUGCUGCAUGGCUGUCGUCAGCUCGUGUUGUGAAAUGUUGGGUUAAGUCCCGUAACGAGCGCAACCCUUGUCCCUAUUUGCCAGCGAUUCGGUCGGGAACUUUAGGGAGACUGCCGGUGACAAACCGGAGGAAGGUGGGGACGACGUCAAGUCAUCAUGGCCCUUACGGGUAGGGCUACACACGUGCUACAAUGGCCGGUACAAUGGGUUGCAAAGCGGCGACGUGGAGCUAAUCUCAUAAAGCCGGUCUCAGUCCGGAUCGGAGUCUGCAACUCGACUCCGUGAAGUCGGAAUCGCUAGUAAUCGUGCAUCAGAAUGGCACGGUGAAUACGUUCCCGGGCCUUGUACACACCGCCCGUCACACCAUGGGAGUGGACUGCACCAGAAGUGGUUAGCCUAACUUCGGAGGGCGAUCACCAUCGGUUGUACAUAUCU